UUCGCCCUUAGAGUUUGAUCCUGCGCUCAGGAUGAACGCUAGCUACAGGCUUAACACAUGCAAGUCGAGGGGAAACGACAUCGAAAGCUUGCUUUUGAUGGGCGUCGACCGGCGCACGGGUGAGUAACGCGUAUCCAACCUGCCCACCACUUGGGGAUAACCUUGCGAAAGUAAGACUAAUACCCAAUGACGUCUCUAGAAGACAUCUGAAAGAGAUUAAAGAUUUAUCGGUGAUGGAUGGGGAUGCGUCUGAUUAGCUUGUUGGCGGGGUAACGGCCCACCAAGGCAACGAUCAGUAGGGGUUCUGAGAGGAAGGUCCCCCACAUUGGAACUGAGACACGGUCCAAACUCCUACGGGAGGCAGCAGUGAGGAAUAUUGGUCAAUGGGCGAGAGCCUGAACCAGCCAAGUAGCGUGCAGGAUGACGGCCCUAUGGGUUGUAAACUGCUUUUAUAAGGGAAUAAAGUGAGAGUUGUGACUCUUUUUGCAUGUACCUUAUGAAUAAGGACCGGCUAAUUCCGUGCCAGCAGCCGCGGUAAUACGGAAGGUCCGGGCGUUAUCCGGAUUUAUUGGGUUUAAAGGGAGCGUAGGCCGGAGAUUAAGCGUGUUGUGAAAUGUAGACGCUCAACGUCUGCACUGCAGCGCGAACUGGUUUCCUUGAGUACGCACAAAGUGGGCGGAAUUCGUGGUGUAGCGGUGAAAUGCUUAGAUAUCACGAAGAACUCCGAUUGCGAAGGCAGCUCACUGGAACGCAACUGACGCUGAAGCUCGAAAGUGCGGGUAUCGAACAGGAUUAGAUACCCUGGUAGUCCGCACGGUAAACGAUGGAUGCCCGCUGUUGGUCUGAAUAGGUCAGCGGCC
rnacentral:rRNA from 1 species